CUCUGCCCUUAGCGUAUUCUCUGCUUCACCAAUUCAAUCCCAUCUUCCCCUCUCUUCCCCUCUCUCGUUCCUCUCUGGUUCUUCUCUCUGGGCAAGACUAGAACCACAACACUCACUGCACACACCUCACUGUUGCCCCCCCGCGUCGCCGGUGCUGUUCCCUCACCCAUCGCCGACGAUGUUCCCCUCCUCCACCGCGUUGCAGCUUCUCCUCCACCUCGUCGCAGCUUCUCCUCCACGGCGUCGCAGCUGCUCCUCCACGGCGUCGCAGCUGCUCCUCCUCCACCUCCACCUUGUGGCGUGGUUAUGUUUACCAGAUCUCUUCUUCCAUACAAACGUCAAGGAAUUCGUGUGAAUGUACUAUGCCCAGAAUUUGUAGAAACUAAUUUGGGGUCAAAGGCGGAUUCCAAAUUUAUAGACUCGCUGGGGGCUUCAUACCUAUGGAACUAGUGGUAAAAGUUCUUAUAACUUGUGGAAUUGGAGGUCAUGACAGCAUUCAAACCAUUGGAGUUCUUCGGAUCAUCUUUUGAUGCUUUAUAUAUUUCUGUUCUCACAACACUGAAAACAAACAAGCUGCAGGAAGUUUCGUAAUGCUUGACAUUCUGGUUGGUGGCCAGCAAAAUGUCCUGUUACUUAUAUCAAUGACGUCUCCUUUCUUCCUCCCUUCAGUGUGCACAUCAGUUUCAGUGGCUUCAGUCUACUAUUCAAGGUAUUUAAUAAUUCGAGGGAGCGGCCCUUCACCUUUGAGGAGAUAGAUGAAGUUCGAGAAAUGUUGGCAAACUUCAUUACCAGUGAUUGUCUUUGAUAUUUUCUUGUAUUGAAUCUUAAAUUAUGGAUUCUAGCUAGUUUUUCAUAUGAUUGUAAUGUAAGCGACUUUUAUAUUUACAUUUAUAUACUAUUUAAUUUAAUUAUCUAUAUAAUUGGAUACUUUUUAUAUGACA